GUUAGUUUGGAGAUAAUGGUCUACGAUAUAAAGCUUAACAGUGAAGAUUGUUUAAUUAACAUAAUUAUUGAAUUCAACAUGAAAAUAGGGAUUUCAGUAUGAGAGAGAAAACAUUGAUCAUGUGGUAUCAAUUCAUUUUAAGGAUGGAAAUCGUCGAGUCGCAGUAAUGAUCUUACUUGCAUGUGAGAUACGCUUUGUAGUCGAACACGUCCGUAGGAGAAAAUCGCAGGGUGAAUUUUGCCGAUUCACCCGGCAGCAGGAUUCCCUUUUCGGGGUAAAUCCCAAACGGCAAAUCGUCACUCUCUAACCAACUGUCGCUACUUCGCUCUGUCAAUCCGGCACUACUGCUGAAGAGAUCGGAUGGAUCGUGGGCGCUAGCAGCUCCGCCGCGUGAUAUUGAUCAGGUCGCUGGCGAGACUCAUGAGUGUGUACCAACGAGUUAGUCGCAGAUCGCAUAUCUCCCUGUGGUCCCAGCGUGAGUCGCGAAUAAUUUGCGGUUCGUCUCAUCGGGUACUGCUCGUCCAUAUUUAUCUGCCACAUGUACUCCACGUCGACCGCACCAGUAUUCGAGAAGGUGAACACGUAUUCGCGCGUCUAUCAAUUAAUAACAUGUCAAAGACUCUUGUUUGUUUCUUUAUUUGCCAUCCUUUUCGCAAUAUGUCGGAAAGGAAGAGAGGAGCAUCACACAUGGUGCGCGCCUGGAGAGGAAACGAAGGCAAAACGGAGACUGAGUUUUACUCUCCCAUGAGGGAAAUUCAUGUAUUACGCCAACCUCAACCGAAAAUUGUUAGAAUGCUGCACACGCGUCAGCUGUAAUGUUUCUUUUGGUUUUCACGUGUAAACAACGGCCGGGAUUGCAUCGGAUAUAAAACCAACAACGACAGUCUGUAUUUUAUCGCUUGUGUCCCGUGACGGUUAUGACGCGAUGCUCGCGUACGCAUCGAUUCAAAAAAUCUCCCCAUUAUUAUGAACAAAUAUUUAAACUCGAUAUACACGAGCAAUCGUGAAGUUAUUUAUAUAAUUCCUAUUUUGCUCUCCCGACGCGGCCGGGCACGCGCUACAAUCACAGCGAGAAAUCCUGCGACCGAUGGUCGAAUCGCGUCACGCAACACAGGAGAGAAAAUUGACAAACAGAAAAAAAUGCAAAGUUCGGUGUAUUCAAAAUAUCAAUGUUUUUCUAAAUGCGGUAAGAGAACAAAGAAUUAAAAAUACGAAAUAUAAUUAGCAGAAAUAUCCUUUCUUCACGUUAAUUUGAUACUAGAAUGCUCGACUCUCCCUCUUUCGCUACAUGAAACUAAGUCUGUUUUACACAAUUAUGUAAAAAAAAAUAAUGUGGCUCAUGUGUGUGGACAGAGUCCUCUAAAUAAAUCGUGUAGUGAACGUAUUAAAACGUAGUAAACGUGUUUUCGCAAUGCACUGACAAUUAAAUAAAGAGUCGAAGUAACUCUAUUAGACAUUCAAGUUAUUAUCAUAAACAUGUUAAAACUCUAAAUUUUAAUAAGAAAUAAGAAGAUUAUAAUUUUAAAAAUUCGAUCAAAAGGAUAAUUAUUAUUAAUUAG